UGGGGAAUCUUGCGCAAUGGGCGAAAGCCUGACGCAGCGACGCCGCGUGAGGGAAGACGGCCUUCGGGUUGUAAACCUCUUUUAAGAGGGAAGAAGCCACUCGGGUUAAUAGCCCAGAGGGUGACGGUACCUCUAGAAUAAGCCCCGGCUAACUACGUGCCAGCAGCCGCGGUAAUACGUAGGGGGCAAGCGUUGUCCGGAUUUACUGGGCGUAAAGAGCGUGUAGGCGGCCAGACAGGUCCGUUGUGAAAACUGGAGGCUCAACCUUCAGACGUCGACGGAAACCGUCUGGCUAGAGUCCGGAAGAGGAGAGUGGAAUUCCUGGUGUAGCGGUGAAAUGCGCAGAUAUCAGGAAGAACACCGAUGGCGAAGGCAGCUCUCUGGGACGGUACUGACGCUGAGACGCGAAAGCGUGGGGAGCGAACAGGAUUAGAUACCCUGGUAGUCCACGCCGUAAACGAUGGGUGCUAGGUGUGGGAGGUGUCGACUCUCCGUGCCGCAGCUAACG
rnacentral:rRNA from 1 species